rnacentral:tRNA from 2 species
GCGGUGGAAAUGGUGUUACCUAACUACGAACCAGGUGGUAGGAGGUUCGAAUCCUUCCGGGCGCGCCA